rnacentral:lncRNA from 1 species
CAAGAGGCCUGCUUGGAACUGGCUCUGGUUCAGCUUUUAACAGAGAGGACAAAGAGGAUCUUUGCUUUUAGCGCAUUGCCCACCCAGUUGCAAAGAGUGAAAUGUUGCAGGGAUUCUGGAUGGUGAGCAAAUGGCAGAGUGUGUGGCAAGACCGGAUCUCACUAGGAAAGGGGACAAGGAAAACCUCCACAUCUCAAGUAAUGGAUAGAUGAAAAACCAACUUCUGUAAAGGAUCAGCAGUAUCCUCAGUUGCAAGAGCCCCAUGUCAUCACCUGGGAGAGCAGAGUGGAGUUAUAAGAAGGUUAUUAGAAGAUUUCAGAUGUACAAGCACAGACCCAGGGAGGACGGCUGGAACACCUCACUGGGGUCCUGUUGAGGAGAACUGAGAUUGCAGAAUGGGCACCCUAAGUCACACAAGAGCAUUCAUCUCAAGAAAAGGGGGAGUCAAGACUGGUAACCCUGGCACCAUAACAUGGUCUGGAGGUUGGGCCAGGUAGCAGUGGGUGCUGGCAUUAGCACAGCAUGUGGCCUAGACUGAAAACCCAUCAUAGCCAAUUGCCCUGUA